CAUGAGGAAUGAGAAACAGAGUGUACAACAUGGCUUUCUUUAGGCAGACCUGCCCCCCAAACAGGUGGUGAACAAAGUUCCUUCAGCAUAUUGCCUGUGGAUAUCAGAACUCAGGGACAUGCAGGUGUGAGCUGCGGGCCUGGAGGUGUCCCUAGGGCCCAGAGAGUGCCUGGGCAGCCGACGGGAAACUGGAUGGACUCAGAAGGAGCAAGUGUCCCUCAGGAUCCAGGAAUCAAAGAAGGCCUGCCGCUUAGUGAGCCAGCAUCAAGAGCCUGUCACUCAGGCCACAUGCCUAAGAUGCGGUUUGACUCUGAGUGGGGCAUGCCCCCUAUUUCAGGGAUAGCCUGGGAGAGAGGAUCAACAUUUGGGAAGUGCUUGGAGGGUGCACCAACCAAGGCUGACCCCUGAGCUGGUCCAUGUGUCCACUGUGAGCACCCACUUUCUUCCCAGUGAAUGCCAUCUGCCUACUCCAGGAACUCUAGGGUGGUCACCAGGGCAAGGAGUGGGGGUGAUAGGAAUGGGUCCUGGCUCAAGUCCCACUGGGCCAUGGUGCUCUUCUUGACGGCCAGACUGAGAGGGCCAGUUCAGUUCACCCAGCACAUGCCAGGUGCUUGGAAGACAAAGAAAUGCACCUCGAGACCCUUGCUGUCUCCAAAAUCUUUUCCAGCAAGUCCAGGCCCUCCUGAUCUUUCCCAUCUCUGAAUCCCAGGGGAACUUAUUUUCAGCCCCUUCUUUAUUCUUACAUCUCAUGACCAAUCUUUGUGUACAUUUAUUAUCUCUCCAGUGACAUAAACUCCUCAGGGGCAGUGUCCCAUAAGGGGCACACUAGUCAUUUGGAGGGAAGCCAUUGUAAACCUUGAUAAGCAUGAAGAAAUCUACAAAUGAGGAGUAUUCCAGAAAAAGCCUCGGCUUUGGGGAAGUAAAUAAUACCAGGAGUUACUGAGCUGGACACAGCACACAUACACUGAGUCUUUACAACAGUCCUGCCUGGAAGAUGUUAUCACCACCAUUUCAUGGAUAAGGAAAUUGAAACUCAAAAAGAUGUGAAAAUUGUCUGAAACCACUCAGACCUGUCUGAUUUCAGAACACAGGUGGGAGGCCUGGAGUCAGUCCCAGGUCUGCCAUUAAAUCACAAUACCUCCUUGGUCAGGUCACUACAGCACUCUGCAGCUCCGUGCCCCAGGAUGCAGCUUUUUCGAUGAAGUAAAUGGAAUUGCAUCCCCCACCCAGGCUUGCUGCACAGAUCAUGGCAUAGCAUUGACAAAUUUCCUAGCAGUUCAUCAGAGAUAUGCCAAUAAUUGAUACCUGCUACUAUUACUAGUAAUUACCGGGAAGCCAGUAUUGCACCAAGAAUAUUUGCAAACCCAAGGAUUUCUUCUUAUUGGACACAGAGAUUGAAUGAAUGCUAGCGAAUGGAAUUGUGCAGAAGACAAACAGGAGUGAGGGAAAUGCUACUGGAUAAGCAGGAGGUUAAAUAAACUGUAUCUCCUUUUGUUUAGAUGUGAAUUUAAGAAUAAUCUAUUUUACUUUGUCAGGGAAGGAAAGGCCUAAAAGGGAGACUAAAGAUGAGUUGCUAAAAAAGAGAGAACAGAAGCAAAGAGACCAGAAGGUGAGUGCUGCUAAAGCUUGGGGUAAUUCGUUAGGCAGGAUUAGAUAACUAAUACAUGGUGUGAAAAAUAUCGUUGCAUUUUGUUUUUGCAUGCAAAUAUCUAAUUGUUUUAGCACUAUUUGUUGAAAAGACUACCCAUUUUCCACUGAAUUGCCCUUGUACCAUUGUUGAAAAUAAAUUGGCCAUAUAUGCAUAAAUCUAUUUCUAUACUCUCUAUACUGUUAUAUUGGGAUCUAGUUGCUUAUCUUGACACUAAUACUAUGCUGUCUUGUUUGCUGUAGCUUUAUCAUCGGCCAUGAAGUCAGGUAGCACAGGCUCUCUAAUUAUAUUUUUCUAAGUUGAUUGGGCUAUUCUAGGUCCUUUGCAUUUCUAUAUGAAUUUUACAGUCUGUCAAUUUCCACAAAAGCGCUAUUGGGAUUUUCCUUGGGACUGCAUUGAAUAGACAGGUCACCAAGGAUAACAUCAAGACCUUGCUGUGUCAGGCCAGCUCCUAGCAACACUGCAGCCCAAGUUGGGAGCACUAGGUUGGCUCCUGGAUGUCAGUGACUGCUCUUCUCUUCCUUAGCUGGAAAGGUACUGGGAAAAACCUCCAUAGUGUAUUUUGGUAAAGGUAUAGUAUAAUCUUUGUGGGAUUCCGAACAAAAUAUUAUAAGAAACAUUCAUUUGUGCCCAAGGGCCAUAAACUUGGUGUAAUCUGAAUGCAAUAAAUUAUAAAUAAAUGGCAAA
rnacentral:lncRNA from 1 species